rnacentral:rRNA from 1 species
UGGCCAGACUCCUACGGGAGGCAGCAGUGGGGGAUAUUGCACAAUGGGGGAAACCCUGAUGCAGCGACGCCGCGUGGGCGAAGAAGUUUUUCGGUAUGUAAAGCCCUAUCAGCAGGGAAGAAGAAAUGACGGUACCUGAGUAAGAAGCACCGGCUAAAUACGUGCCAGCAGCCGCGGUAAUACGUAUGGUGCAAGCGUUAUCCGGAUUUACUGGGUGUAAAGGGAGCGCAGGCGGCGCGCCAAGUCUGAUGUGAGAACCCGGGGCUCAACCCCGGGCAUGCAUUGGAAACUGGCGGGCUGGAGUGCCGGAGAGGUAAGCGGAAUUCCUGGUGUAGCGGUGAAAUGCGUAGAUAUUAGGAGGAACACCAGUGGCGAAGGCGGCUUACUGGACGGCAACUGACGCUGAGGCUCGAAAGCGUGGGGAGCAAACAGGAUUAGAUACCCUGGUA